GAACGUACAACAGAUGAUAAUGUUUCCUCCAACAUUUCUCUGAGCUCAACUAAGCUUCUCUUUUAGGUGGAGAGUGGGAGAGUGAAGAUUGAGAAAGAAAAGAAAGGAGAGUAGAGAUGAGAGAAUCUCAGGUUUCCCUAAUUUUUUUUUAUCAGAGAUUAGGCAAAAAGAAAAGAAAAAUAAAAUUUAGGACUCGUUUUGAAUGG
rnacentral:lncRNA from 1 species